rnacentral:rRNA from 1 species
CGGGACGGGUGAGUAACGCGUGGAAAACCUGCCGUAUACUGGGGGAUAACACUUAGAAAUAGGUGCUAAUACCGCAUAAGCGCACAGCUUCGCAUGAAGCGGUGUGAAAAACUCUGGUGGUAUACGAUGGUUCCGCGUCUGAUUAGCUAGUUGGUGGGGUAAUGGCCUACCAAGGCAACGAUCAGUAGCCGGCCUGAGAGGGCGAACGGCCACAUUGGGACUGAGACACGGCCCAAACUCCUACGGGAGGCAGCAG